GGUAUUGAAAUAAGAUUUUAAAUGAAUGCUAAGAGAAUGAUUAAACAAUUAAAAGCUUUCUUUAAUUAAAUAAUUAAAUUUAAUUUUUUUAGUGCAAAAGCAAAAAUAAAAUUUAGGGACAAGAAGACCCUAUGAAUUUUUUAUUGUUAAUAAUUAUAAUUUAAAUUAUUAAUAAUUUAAUUGGGGUGAUAAAAAAAGAAUAAGUAUCUUUUUAGUUAUAAAAUAAGUUCCGUUUUUAGCGAUUUAAUGAAAUAAAUACUCUAGGGAUAACAGCGUAAUAAUUUUGGAUAGUUCAUAUAGAUAAAAUAGUUUGCGACCUCGAUGUUGGAUUAGGAUUCUUUUUUGGUGAAGAA
rnacentral:rRNA from 1 species